rnacentral:tRNA from 1 species
GGGGCCUUAGUUUAAUUAAAAUAUUUGAUUUGCAAUUAUAAGAUGCAGAGUAACAUCUGUAGGUCCUA